CAGUCGCCGCGGUAAUACGAAGGGUGCAAGCGUUAAUCGGAAUUACUGGGCGUAAAGCGUGCGUAGGUGGUUGUUUAAGUCUGCUGUGAAAGCCCUGGGCUCAACCUGGGAAUUGCAGUGGAUACUGGGCAACUAGAGUAAGGUAGAGGAUAGUGGAAUUUCCGGUGUAGCAGUGAAAUGCGUAGAGAUCGGAAGGAACAUCUGUGGCGAAGGCGACUAUCUGGGCCAACACUGACACUGAGGCACGAAAGCGUGGGGAGCAAACAGGAUUAGAUACCCGGGUAGUCCCUGUCUCUUAUAC
rnacentral:rRNA from 1 species